rnacentral:rRNA from 1 species
GACGAACCGUGCGAACGUUGUUCGGAAUCACUGGGCUUAAAGGGCGCGUAGGCGGGCUCGCAAGUCCGGGGUGAAAGCCCCCAGCUCAACUGGGGAAGCGCCUUGGAUACUGCGGGCCUCGAGGGAGGUAGGGGCGUGCGGAACUUCCGGUGGAGCGGUGAAAUGCGUAGAUAUCGGAAGGAACACCGGUGGCGAAAGCGGCGCGCUGGACCUCUUCUGACGCUGAGGCGCGAAAGCCAGGGGAGCAAACGGG